rnacentral:rRNA from 1 species
CCUACGGGUGGCAGCAGUGAGGAAUAUUGGUCAAUGGGCGUAAGCCUGAACCAGCCAAGUCGCGUGAGGGAUGAAGGUUCUAUGGAUCGUAAACCUCUUUUAUAAGGGAAUAAAGUGCGGGACGUGUCCCGUUUUGUAUGUACCUUAUGAAUAAGGAUCGGCUAACUCCGUGCCAGCAGCCGCGGUAAUACGGGGGGUGCAAGCGUUGUCCGGAAUCAUUGGGCGUAAAGAGUUCGUAGGCGGCACGUAAAGUCUGGUGUUAAAGGCAGAGGCUCAACUUCUGUACGGCACUGGAUACUUGCGAGCUAGAAUGCGGUAGAGGUAAAGGGAAUUCCUGGUGUAGCGGUGAAAUGCUUAGAUAUCAGGAGGAACAUCGGUGGCGUAAGCGCUUUACUGGGCCGUAAUUGACGCUGAGGAACGAAAGCCAGGGUAGCAAAUGGGAUUAGAUACCCCUGUAGUC